GAGUUUGAUCCUGGCUCAGGAUGAACGCUGGCGGCGUGCUUAACACAUGCAAGUCGAACGAUGAUCCCCAGCUUGCUGGGGGGAUUAGUGGCGAACGGGUGAGUAACACGUGAGUAACCUGCCCUUGACUCUGGGAUAAGCCUGGGAAACUGGGUCUAAUACCGGAUAUGACUCCUCAUCGCAUGGUGGGGGGUGGAAAGCUUUUGCGGUUUUGGAUGGACUCGCGGCCUAUCAGCUUGUUGGUGAGGUAAUGGCUCACCAAGGCGACGACGGGUAGCCGGCCUGAGAGGGUGACCGGCCACACUGGGACUGAGACACGGCCCAGACUCCUACGGGAGGCAGCAGUGGGGAAUAUUGCACAAUGGGCGAAAGCCUGAUGCAGCGACGCCGCGUGAGGGAUGACGGCCUUCGGGUUGUAAACCUCUUUCAGUAGGGAAGAAGCGAAAGUGACGGUACCUGCAGAAGAAGCGCCGGCUAACUACGUGCCAGCAGCCGCGGUAAUACGUAGGGCGCAAGCGUUAUCCGGAAUUAUUGGGCGUAAAGAGCUCGUAGGCGGUUUGUCGCGUCUGCCGUGAAAGUCCGGGGCUCAACUCCGGAUCUGCGGUGGGUACGGGCAGGCUAGAGUGAUGUAGGGGAGACUGGAAUUCCUGGUGUAGCGGUGAAAUGCGCAGAUAUCAGGAGGAACACCGAUGGCGAAGGCAGGUCUCUGGGCAUUAACUGACGCUGAGGAGCGAAAGCAUGGGGAGCGAACAGGAUUAGAUACCCUGGUAGUCCACGCCGUAAACGAUGUCAACUAGCCG
rnacentral:rRNA from 1 species